rnacentral:rRNA from 1 species
GGAGGGUCAUUACCGAGUUAGGGUCUCACCGGCCCGAUCUCCCAACCCUUUGUCUACUUGACCAUCGUUGCUUCGGCGAGCCCGUCCUCACGGACCGCCGGGGGGUCUUUGUACCCCUUGGCCCGCGCUCGUCGACAGCCCCCAAAUUUAAAAAUCUUAACUAAACGUGUCUUGAAUCUAAGUAUUAUUGUUAAAUAAAAACAAAACUUUCAACAACGGAUCUCUUGGUUCUGGCAUCGAUGAAGAACGCAGCGAAAUGCGAUAAGUAAUGCGAAUUGCAGAAUUCCAGUGAGUCAUCGAAUCUUUGAACGCACAUUGCGCCCUUUGGUAUUCCGAAGGGCAUGCCUGUUCGAGCGUCAUUAUCACCCCUCAAGCCCUCGGCUUGGUGUUGGACGGUUUGGUGGAGACCCCCUUUGCGGGCUUCUACCCCUCCCAAAGACAAUGACGGCGGCCUCGUUGGACCCCCGGUACACUGAGUUCUUCACGGGACACGUAUCGGACACAUGGGUUCACGGGACACGGUCUGCCUCCCCUCAGGGAGAAUCUUUUUUUAUCAAGGUUGACCUCGGAUCAGGUAGGGAUACCCGCUGAACUUAAGCAUAUCAAUAAGCGGAGGAAAAGAAACCAACAGGGAUUGCCUCAGUAACGGCGAGUGAAGCGGCAACAGCUCAAAUUUGAAAUCUGGCCUCUUUGGGGUCCGAGUUGUAAUUUGUAGAGGAUGUUUCGGGUACCGCCUCGGUUUAAAUUUCUUGGAACAGAA